rnacentral:tRNA from 1 species
GCCCGGAUAGCCAAGCGGCUACGGCGGCAGCCUGGAAAGCUGCUCUCCUUUGGGAGGCAUGAGUUCGAAUCUCAUUCCGGGCGCCA